AUCUAGCUGGGAAAUGUGGUAGUUUUAAGACAUGUCUGCAAAUUCUUUCAUCUUUUUCUCAUCAAGAUGUGGGUUCUCUAUUCCUCACCUUGAACCUGGGCCCACCUUAAUGAUUGGUUGGUCACCAGCAUAAAGAGGAAGUGAUAUUCUGUGACUUCCAGGCUGGGCCAUAGAAGCCAGGCAGUUUCCUCUUGGUUCCCUGGAUCACUUGCACUGGAGCUGCCACGUAAGAAGUCUGACCAUCCCGAGGCCUCUAUGCUGUGAGGAAGCCCAAAUUAGUCCACAUGGAGAUGCCCUGAGUCUACAAGAAAAGAGAGGACAGACAGAGAUGCUCCUCUAGACACCAUUUCGCUGAAACCACAUGAGGGUUCACCAAGCCAAGACCGCUGAGCUGAGCCUUUCCCAGGUUCCUGACCACAGAAACCAUAAGAGAUAAUAACGUGAUUGAUGGUGGCCAGACACAGUGACUCACACCUGAAAUCCCAGCACUUUGGGAGGCUGAGAUCUAUGCCCCUUGAUAUGACUUUGCAGUUCCUUCUACUAAGAAGAUGAAUCCAUUUCUCCACCCGCUGAGUCUGGGCUGGUCUUGUGAUGUGCGUUAGUCAAUAGAAGUGGCUGAAGUGAUGGCGCGCCAGUUUUUAGCCUACACUUCAAGAAGCCUAUGGACUUCCACUUGCUGUCUUGAAACCCUGUUUGAAAAAGGUUCCCUGAGGACAAGGCCAGACUAGCCUGCUGGAGGGUGAGAGACCACAGGGAGCAGAGACAAGUCAGCUCACAUUAGCAGAACCUCUCAGUCAAUCCACAGACCCGUAAUCUCCUCCCCUGGAGUGUGGACCAGAGUUAGUGACUCACCUCUAACGAAUGAAAUAGCUCAGUCUGAUGGAAGCAGCUGCCCUGUUGUGAGCUCCCCCUAGGGAGAGGCCCACAUGGGAAGAAAUCAAAGUAUGCCUCAAACCAACAGCCAGAGGGAAACUGAGGCUUCAGUCCAACAAGCCAGAAGGAACUGAAUCCCACCAACAACCACUUCAUUGAGCCAAUGAGAAAGCUAAAGCUUGGUGAGAUUACGGAAGCCUACAGUUACACAGCUGACUCCCUCCAGAGGCCCCAUCCACACCCACUGUUGGACUCCUGCUACUCUCGGAGGCUUGGAGUUGGUUUCUCCUCCCCCAAAUCGGUCUCAACACUUACCCUUACUUCCUGCUCUUCGUGGUCUCAGCCUCACUGUUCUUCGUGGACUCAUUUUUUCUCUUCCCUUUGUUUUAUUUUUGUCUCUUUCUUUCUUUUUUGGCUUCAGUGGAGUCCUAGCCUUAAGGUUUUCCUUCUCUAACCCCUUGUUCCCCUUCCAUUCUCUUUCCAGCCCUCUGUAAGCUGCAGCACAGUGUUUACAGUUAAGCCAGCCUCCAUUGAGGCCUUCAGUUGCCGAAGUUCAAAAAAAUCAACCUAGAAUAACAACGUAUUGUUAUAUAAAUGGCA
rnacentral:lncRNA from 1 species